rnacentral:rRNA from 1 species
CAGCCGCCACGGUAAUACAGAGGGUGCAAGCGUUAAUCGGAUUUACUGGGCGUAAAGGGCGCGUAGGUGGUUAUGUAAGUGAGAUGUGAAAUCCCCGGGCUCAACCUGGGAACUGCAUCUUAUACUGCGUAGCUGGAGUGCAGUAGAGGGUAGUGGAAUUUCCGGUGUAGCGGUGAAAUGCGUAGAUAUCGGAAGGAACACCAGUGGCGAAGGCGGCUACCUGGACUGACACUGACACUGAGGCGCGAAAGCGUGGGGAGCAAACAGGAUUAGAUACCCCUGUAGUCCCUGUCUCUUAUAA